rnacentral:lncRNA from 1 species
AGGAUUCAAUAUAAGGCACGUUAUAGAGCAACGCAUUGCUCUAUGACUUUGAAAGGUAAUUUACGCUUGAGCUGAAAUAAAUGCGCAGCGUUUACCAUGAAUUUCUGAACCUCCUUGCUGUGAAUCCGGGCCUAGAAGUAGUGUUACGCCACAAGUUGCCAGGAUAGGGCAGAGCCAAUGUAAACUUAAACUGGGUACAAAGUUAAAUAAGUAUAGCACAGCACAUGGUAGAUUUCUAGUGAAUACACAGCAUUCCGGUUAGGUUCAGUGGAUACACAGCAUUCCGGUUAGAUUCAGUGGAUACAUCUCAUUCCGGUUAGGUUCAGUGGAUACACAGCAUUCCGGUUAGGUUCAGUGGAUACAUCGCAUUCCGGUUAGGUUCAGUGGAUACACAGCAUUCCGGUUAGGUUCAGUGGAUGCACAGCAUUCCGGUUAGGUUCAGUGGAUGCACAGCAUUCCGGUUAGGUUCAGUGGAUGC